AAGUCAGAUAGACUUAUGCACGAGAAAGCACUUGGGUUGUAGAAUUUUGUAUUUUGGUAUGUCAAAAGGAAUUCUGAUGUGUUGACUUAAAAUUUUUGGUUUUAGAGUAUGAGGUACUAUGUUAUGGUAAUGUUUUGAAGGUAUAGAUAGGUAAAUGAUUUAGGGGAACGUCUUUGAGUUUUUGAUAUUGAUUAGUGGUUAUUUUAUCACUCAUUUGCACUCAACUUUCAUGCACGCUACCAAGUUUUG
rnacentral:lncRNA from 1 species